AACCCUGCACCUAGCCUCAACCCUGCACCUUAACCCUGCACCUAGCCUCAACCCUGCACCUAGCCUCAACCCUGCACCUUAACCCUGCACCUAGCCUCAACCCUGCACCUAGCCUCAACCUAGGCCUGGUAACAGGUAACUCAUGACAAUAUCUGUGUGUAGGAUGGGUUGCAUUUAUGCAACAACAAACAAACAGUUUCAAAGUGCUUUGCUGAUGUUGUAUCAUGUCUGCGUUGUGGAGGUUGUAGUGAUGUCUGUGUUGUGGAGGUUGUAGUGAUGUUGUAUCAUGUCUGUGUUGUGGAGGUUGUAGUGAUGUUGUAUCAUGUCUGUGUUGUGGAGGUUGUAGUGAUGUUGUAUCAUGUCUGUGUUGUGGAGGUUGUAGUGAUGUUGUAUCAUGUCUGCGUUGUGGAGGUUGUAGUGAUGUUGUAUCAUGUCUGUGUUGUGGAGGUUGUAGUGAUGUUGUAUCAUGUCUGUGUUGUGGAGGUUGUAGUGAUGUUGUAUCAUGUCUGUGUUGUGGAGGUUGUAGUGAUGUUGUAUCAUGUCUGUGUUGUGGAGGUUGUAGUGAUGUUGUAUCAUGUAUGUGUUGUGGAGGUUGUAGUGAUGUUGUAUCAUGUCUGUGUUGUGGAGGUUGUAGUGAUGUUGUAUCAUGUCUGUGUUGUGGAGGUUGUAGUGAUGUUGAAGUGAUGUUGUAUCAUGUCUGUGUUGUGGAGGUUGUAGUGAUGUUGUAUCAUGUCUGUGUUGUGGAGGUUGUAGUGAUGUUGUAUCAUGUCUGUUGUGGAGGUUGUAGUGAUGUUGUAUCAUGUCUGUGUUGUGGAGGUUGUAGUGAUGUUGUAUCAUGUCUGUGUUAUUUAGGUUGGGGGUGUUGUUCACUCCUCUGCUUCCUGCUGUACAGAUCAUCAAACUACUGCUUCUCUUCUACAUGAAGCAGGAAGCAGGUAGGUUCUCUGCUCUGAUCACUGUGCCAUGAUCAUACUGGUAACUUCUCUUCUACAUGAAGCAGGUAGGUACACCUCUGUUCUGAUCACUGUGCCAUGAUCAUACUGGUAACUUCUCUUCUACAUGAAGCAGGUAGGUACACCUCUGUUCUGAUCACUGUGCCAUGAUCAUACUGGUAACUUCUCUUCUACAGGAAGCAGGUAGGUACACCUCUGUUCUGAUCACUGUGCCAUGAUCAUACUGGUAACUUCUAUUCUACAUGAAGCAGGUAGGUACACCUCUGUUCUGAUCACUGUGCCAUGAUCAUACUGGUAACUUCUCUUCUACAGGAAGCAGGUAGGUUCUCUGCUCUGAUCACUGUGCCAUGAUCAUACUGCUAACUGGAC
ensembl:lncRNA